GUGCUUGUUUUAACAGUGCAUACAAUAUAACCAAUGUAGGGAAAAUUAGCCUGGCUCCUGUGCAAGAAUGACAUGUAAAUUUGUAAAGUGUUCCAUGUUUUU